rnacentral:rRNA from 1 species
ACUCCUACGGGAGGCAGCAGUGGGGAAUAUUGCACAAUGGGCGCAAGCCUGAUGCAGCCAUGCCGCGUGUAUGAAGAAGGCCUUCGGGUUGUAAAGUACUUUCAGCAGUGAGGAAGGUGGGAGUUCAGUUAAUAGCGGCUCAUUUGAUCGUUAUGCUGCAGAAGAAGCACCGGCUAACUCCGUGCCAGCAGCCGCGGUAAUACGGAGGGUGCGAGCGUUAAUCGGAAUUACUGGGCGUAAAGCGCAUGCAGGUGGUUUGUUAAGUCAGAUGUGAAAGCCCGGGGCUCAACCUCGGAAUAUGAC